GUAAUUUUUCAGGAUUUUCAGUUUCCCUCCGAUUCGCGUCUCGUUCGCCCGCGUGUGUCUCUGUUUGUCUGUGGCGUACGGAAAUGUCCGCGCUGGACGCUUUGUGAACCUGCCACGGUCACAGGCGACCUCUGACCUCUGCAAAUGUGCAAGAUCGCGCCGAACGAAGCCGGAACUCAAGGAAUUUUCAACAUGCACAUCAACAAAAAGACACAAUCUGUAGAUAUGUAUAAUGAGAUAAAGGCUUCAUUUUCCUCAGCAAGGCUGUCGAUGGGGUGGCCGCAAAUGCUAUUCUUCCGCCAGCUACCGUUUUAGCGGUGAUGACGACAGCAGACCUUGAUUAUAUUAUAUGAAAAAGCUGGAAGAAUUCUAAACAUUCACGUGGAUAAGACUUUUUAUUCCGGUAGAAGAUUCAUUUAUUUGAAAGCUUUUUCCCUUAGAAAAGAAAUCCAAUUCUCGGAAAAUUCAAAUCAAAUGAAAACUUGAGUAUGCGCGAUCUUAUAAAUUUACUAUUAUGCUGAACGGGAUAAUUUUUUUUUUGACACAAAUUGAAGUUUAACCUAUUUCCCAAACAAUUUGUUGAUUACAGUACAAAUUAAUUAUUCUAAAUAUUAUCAAUGAAUUAAUAGAGUUCCUAAUUUUUAUCCAGGUUCAGACAAAUAAUUUUGUGUUUUGAUGGAGGCGAUGCAUAAAUUGAAAAAUUCUGUU